UACCAAUAUUGUUUAUUCUCGUAAAGACGGCAAAUAUGGUUUGAUUGAAACAAAUUAAUUUAAAAUAAUAAUUAACAGAUGGGGGCCAAUCUUGGUCUCCAUUUUUUUACUCUUAGAUGAAGAAUUUAUGGCAUUUUGAUAAUUUUAUUGAUUAAAAAGAGAUAACCAGUUGUAUAUUUUAGUUAAUAAGUGAUAGAAUUAGUUUGUAUAUUUAAGUGAAGAUAAUUCCUGAAAGUUAUUAUAGAUGAAACUGCGCGAUGACAGCGAAAACAGUAGAGGAGAAUUUAAAUGGCUGGACUAUUGAAAAAGAUUUUUGAAUCAGGAAAAAAAGAUGUUAAAUAUUUGGAGAGAAAAGCAGAUGAGAUUAUUGCUUUAGCGGAUGAAACUGCUGCUCUUUC
rnacentral:misc_RNA from 1 species